rnacentral:rRNA from 1 species
GAUGAACGCUGGCGGCGUGCCUAACACAUGCAAGUCGAACGGAAAGACCAAAAGUUGUUUCUGUUCUCGAUGGCGGAAGGCGGGAGUGUAACGAGUGCAUCCUGCCCUGCUUUUUCGGGGAGGACUGCGAAACUGGGCUUAAUAUAGGACAGGAUACCAUCUACGGGGGAGUGCAGGAAAGCUUGUCGGUUUGGGCGGAGCUAAUGGCCGAUGUCGGUGUAGCUAGUUGGCUGGGUAACGGCUUAGCAAGGCGACGAUCGGUAGCUGAGCUGAGAGGGUGAACCGCCACACUGGGACUGAGACACGGUCCAGACUCCUACGGGAGGCAGCAGUGGGGAAUCUUGGGCAAUGGGCGGAAGCCUGACCAAGCAACGCCGCGUGGGUGAAGAAGGGCUUCGGGUCGUAAAACUGUUUUGUUGUGGAAGAAAAGUUGCGCUAGUAACGAAGCGUGUUUUGACGGUACCUAAAGAAUAAGCACCGGCUAACUACGUG